CUUAUACUGCAGUCGAGCGGACAGAAGGGAGCUUGCUCCCGGAUGUUAGCGGCGGACGGGUGAGUAACACGUGGGUAACCUGCCUGUAAGACUGGGAUAACUCCGGGAAACCGGAGCUAAUACCGGAUAGUUCCUUGAACCGCAUGGUUCAAGGAUGAAAGACGGUUUCGGCUGUCACUUACAGAUGGACCCGCGGCGCAUUAGCUAGUUGGUGAGGUAACGGCUCACCAAGGCGACGAUGCGUAGCCGACCUGAGAGGGUGAUCGGCCACACUGGGACUGAGACACGGCCCAGACUCCUACGGGAGGCAGCAGUAGGGAAUCUUCCGCAAUGGACGAAAGUCUGACGGAGCAACGCCGCGUGAGUGAUGAAGGUUUUCGGAUCGUAAAGCUCUGUUGUUAGGGAAGAACAAGUGCAAGAGUAACUGCUUGCACCUUGACGGUACCUAACCAGAAAGCCACGGCUAACUACGUGCCAGCAGCCGCGGUAAUACGUAGGUGGCAAGCGUUGUCCGGAAUUAUUGGGCGUAAAGGGCUCGCAGGCGGUUUCUUAAGUCUGAUGUGAAAGCCCCCGGCUCAACCGGGGAGGGUCAUUGGAAACUGGGAAACUUGAGUGCAGAAGAGGAGAGUGGAAUUCCACGUGUAGCGGUGAAAUGCGUAGAGAUGUGGAGGAACACCAGUGGCGAAGGCGACUCUCUGGUCUGUAACUGACGCUGAGGAGCGAAAGCGUGGGGAGCGAACAGGAUUAGAUACCCUGGUAGUCCACGCCGUAAACGAUGAGUGCUAAGUGUUAUGGGGUUU
rnacentral:rRNA from 1 species